rnacentral:sRNA from 1 species
CCCACGGACGCGCCGAUCCUCGCCCUCCGCGGUAACGACAUCUUAAAAGCCUGGUCCAGGCCCGCGCCGUUCAGCAUCGCGCGAGGCUGUCAAUUCCUUCUGCUCGUUUUAAUGUUCCUCUCUUAUGGGGUGAGCGACAGCAGCCCAGUGACAUGGAAGACAAAUGCAGUGGAAAACAGCCCAUGGGAGUGAGUGCUGGGCCCGGACACAAUGGGAGACUCUGGGAGAUCUGAGUCCUUACACAUGCUCUCAGUUUCCAAGGAUACCUUUUUAGGAUACUAACCUUAGCACAAAUGGCUGCAUGGUCAGAGGAACCAAGACACUCAUCCAACAGGGCCGCGUCACCAGGCAACCCACCAGCUAACCGUGGCUUCCGGAAUGAGCCAGGAACCUGUCUCGGCUUGAGACAGUGCCCAGAUCACACGUCCAUGCUCUUGGCAAGCAGCUGUUGGAGUCAACAACCUCAGUCACAGCACUGACAUUCUAGACUCCAGCUUCGCUAUGGUAACGUCUGUGAGGUCUCCAGUCUAUCUGUCAUCCUCCCAACCCAAUCCAUCCCUGCACGGAAGAACAGAGACCUGAUUCAGUCCAAGACUGUCACACGUAUGCCAAAGUCAUUGAAGAAUGGCUGGCCAUAUCCACUCAGCUAGUGGAUUCCUGACUGCAGCCUAUAAAAGGGGCAAAGCACCCGUUCGCUACUGGACCUCUUCUCUCUUCCCCUACCUGCAGAACUACUGGAUAUCUUCCUUCUUCUUUGAAGCAAAGAGCUGAAUGCCAGCAUCGUGUCUGUGUGAACCUCUGCUAUGAUGACAACUGCUCUUCUGUGCCUUCCUUGCCAGGAGAGACUGAGUGCUUUAAAACCAUGUUCAAAACGAAGUCCUUGUUUCUGUUGGUGGGGGGCGGGGGUCACAGUGAUACAAUGUAACCAGUACAGUCAGGAUAGCAGACAUACUUUCGGGAGAAAUAAUCAGAGCCAAGACAUUUACCUCA